GCGUUGUUCGGAUUUACUGGGCGUAAAGGGCGCGUAGGCGGCGUGACAAGUCACUUGUGAAAUCUCCGGGCUUAACUCGGAACGGUCAAGUGAUACUGUCGUGCUAGAGUACAGAAGGGGCAACUGGAAUUCUCGGUGUAGCGGUGAAAUGCGUAGAUAUCGAGAGGAACACCUGCGGCGAAGGCGGGUUGCUGGGCUGAUACUGACGCUGAGGCGCGAAAGCUAGGGGAGCGAACGGG
rnacentral:rRNA from 1 species